AUUGAACGCUGGCGGCAUGCUUUACACAUGCAAGUCGAACGGUAACAGGCCGCAAGGUGCUGACGAGUGGCGAACGGGUGAGUAAUGCAUCGGAACGUGCCCAGUCGUGGGGGAUAACUACUCGAAAGAGUAGCUAAUACCGCAUACGAUCUAUGGAUGAAAGCGGGGGACCGUAAGGCCUCGCGCGAUUGGAGCGGCCGAUGUCAGAUUAGGUAGUUGGUGGGGUAAAGGCUCACCAAGCCAACGAUCUGUAGCUGGUCUGAGAGGACGACCAGCCACUGGGACUGAGACACGGCCCAGACUCCUACGGGAGGCAGCAGUGGGGAAUUUUGGACAAUGGGCGCAAGCCUGAUCCAGCAAUGCCGCGUGCAGGAAGAAGGCCUUCGGGUUGUAAACUGCUUUUGUACGGAACGAAACGGCUCUGGUUAAUACCCGGGGCUAAUGACGGUACCGUAAGAAUAAGCACCGGCUAACUACGUG
rnacentral:rRNA from 1 species